GGUUAAGUUAACAAGGGCGCAUGGUGAAUGCCUUGGCACUAGGAGCCGAUGAAGGACGGGACUAACACCGAUAUGCUUCGGGGAGCUGUACGUAAGCUAUGAUCCGGAGAUUUCCGAAUGGGGCAACCCAGCAGUUUUAAUCAACUGUUACCACUAGAUGAAUUCAUAGUCUAGUUGGAGGUAAACGCUGUGAACUGAAACAUCUCAUUAGCAGCAGGAAUAUAAAGAAAUUUCGAUUCCCUAAGUAGCGGCGAGCGAACGGGGAACAGCCCAAACCAAAGUGCUUGCACUUUGGGGUUGUAGGACUGAACAUUUGAGUUACCAAAGAACUUGAUAGUCGAAGGAUUUGGGAAAAUCCGCCAUAGAUGGUGAUAGCCCAGUAGAUUAAAUCAAAUUCUCUCAGUUCAGGAUCCUGAGUACGGCGGAACACGUGAAAUUCCGUCGGAAUCCGGGAGGACCAUCUCCCAAGGCUAAAUACUACCUAGUGACCGAUAGUGAACCAGUACCGUGAGGGAAAGGUGAAAAGCACCCCGGGAGGGGAGUGAAAUAGUUCCUGAAACCAUGUGCCUACAAUAAGUCAGAGCGCGUUAAUGCGUGAUGGCGUGCCUUUUGUAGAAUGAACCGGCGAGUUAUGAUCCCGUGCAAGGUUAAGACUAAAAAGUCGGAGCCGUAGCGAAAGCGAGUCUGAAAUGGGCGUUUUGAGUACGAGGUUAUAGACCCGAAACCAGGUGACCUAUCCAUGUCCAGGUUGAAGGUGCGGUAAAACGCACUGGAGGACCGAACCCGUGUAAGUUGAAAAUUGCUGGGAUGAGGUGUGGAUAGCGGUGAAAUUCCAAACGAACUUGGAGAUAGCUGGUUCUCUCCGAAAUAGCUUUAGGGCUAGCCUCGGAAUUAGGAUCAUGGAGGUAGAGCACUAUUUGGACUAGGGGCCCGUCUUGGGUUACUGAAUUCAGAUAAACUCCGAAUGCCAUUGAUUCAUAUCCGGGAGUCAGACGAUGAGUGAUAAGAUCCACCGUCGAAAGGGGAACAGCCCAGACCAUCAGUUAAGGUCCCUAAAUGUAUGCUAAGUGGAAAAGGAUGUGGAGUUGCAUAGACAACUAGGAUGUUGGCUCAGAAGCAGCCACCAUUUAAAGAGUGCGUAAUAGCUCACUAGUCGAGUGAUCCUGCGCCGAAAAUGUACCGGGGCUAAGCAUACUACCGAAACCAUGGAUGCGACCAUUAGGUCGCGUGAUAGGAGAGCGUUCUAAGGGCGGUGAAGCAAGAUCGUGAGGACUUGUGGAGCGCUUAGAAGUGAGAAUGCCGGUAUGAGUAGCGAAAGAUAGGUGAGAAUCCUAUCCACCGAAUGACUAAGGUUUCCUGGGGAAGGCUCGUCCUCCCAGGGUUAGUCGGGACCUAAGUCGAGGCCGAGAGGCGUAGACGAUGGAUAACAGGUUGAGAUUCCUGUACUAGUUAAGUGCGUUUGAGCAAUGGAGGGACGCAGGAGGCUAAGAUGUGCAUUCUGUUGGAUUAGAAUGUCCAAGCAGUAAGUCUUGUGAAGAGUCAAAUGCUUUUCACUUUAAGGACAAGCUGUGAUGGGGAGCGAAAUUUAGUAGCGAAGCGUCUGAUGUCACACUGCCGAGAAAAGCUUCUAGUGAGUACUUAACUACCCGUACCGCAAACCGACACAGGUAGUCGAGGAGAGAAUCCUAAGGUGAGCGAGUGAACUCUCGUUAAGGAACUCGGCAAAAUGACCCCGUAACUUCGGGAGAAGGGGUGCUGAUCGCAAGAUCAGCCGCAGUGAAUAGGCCCAGGCGACUGUUUAUCAAAAACACAGGUCUCUGCAAAAUCGUAAGAUGACGUAUAGGGGCUGACGCCUGCCCGGUGCUGGAAGGUUAAAAGGAUGGGUUAGCUUCGGCGAAGCUCAGAAUUGAAGCCCCAGUAAACGGCGGCCGUAACUAUAACGGUCCUAAGGUAGCGAAAUUCCUUGUCGGGUAAGUUCCGACCCGCACGAAAGGCGUAACGAUCUGGGCACUGUCUCAACGAGAGACUCGGUGAAAUUAUAUUGUCCGUGAAGAUGCGGACUACCCGCGACAGGACGGAAAGACCCCAUGGAGCUUUACUGUAGCUUGAUAUUGAGUGUUUGUACAGCUUGUACAGGAUAGGUAGGAGCCAUAGAAACCGGAACGCUAGUUUCGGUGGAGGCGUUGGUGGGAUACUACCCUCGCUGUAUGACCACUCUAACCCGCACCACUAAUCGUGGUGGGAGACAGUGUCAGGUGGGCAGUUUGACUGGGGCGGUCGCCUCCUAAAAAGUAACGGAGGCGCCCAAAGGUUCCCUCAGAAUGGUUGGAAAUCAUUCGCAGAGUGUAAAGGCACAAGGGAGCUUGACUGCGAGACAGACAGGUCGAGCAGGGACGAAAGUCGGGCUUAGUGAUCCGGUGGUACCGUAUGGAAGGGCCAUCGCUCAACGGAUAAAAGCUACCCUGGGGAUAACAGGCUUAUCUCCCCCAAGAGUCCACAUCGACGGGGAGGUUUGGCACCUCGAUGUCGGCUCAUCGCAUCCUGGGGCUGUAGUCGGUCCCAAGGGUUGGGCUGUUCGCCCAUUAAAGCGGUACGCGAGCUGGGUUCAGAACGUCGUGAGACAGUUCGGUCCCUAUCCGUCGCGGGCGUAGGAAAUUUGAGAGGACCUGUCCUUAGUACGAGAGGACCGGGAUGGACAUACCUCUGGUGUACCAGUUGUGCCGCCAGGCGCAUCGCUGGGUAGCUACGUAUGGAUGUGAUAAACGCUGAAAGCAUCUAAGUGUGAAACACACCUCGAGAUGAGAUUUCCCAUUUCUUUAUGGAAGUAAGACCCCUGAAAGAUGAUCAGGUAGAUAGGUUAGAAGUGGCAGUGCGGUGACGCAUGAAGCGGACUAAUACUAAUCGGUCGAGGACUUAACCAA
rfam:Lactobacillus plantarum WCFS1 complete genome